rnacentral:rRNA from 1 species
UACGUAGGCAGCGAGCGUUGUUCGGAGUUACUGGGCGUAAAGCGUGCGCAGGCGGUUCGUUGUGUCGGCGGUGAAAUCCCCGGGCUCAACCUGGGAAUGGCCGUUGAAACUGGCGAACUGGAGUGUGGCAGAGGGGGGUGGAAUUCCGCGUGUAGCAGUGAAAUGCGUAGAGAUGCGGAGGAACACCGAUGGCGAAGGCAGCCCCCUGGGCUGACACUGACGCUCAGGCACGAAAGCGUGGGGAGCAAACAGG